ACAUCAGUAGCACAGUGGUCAGUGCAGUCUGCCGGGAACAGAAAAACGCGGGUUCAAUUCCCGCCCGAUGUC
rfam:Nippostrongylus brasiliensis genome assembly, scaffold: NBR_scaffold0000344